rnacentral:rRNA from 1 species
AGUGAACGCUGGCGGCGUGCCUAAUACAUGCAAGUCGAACGCAGUGGGGACGGGUGAGUAACACGUGGGUAACCUCCCAUCAGAGGGGAUACCACUUGGAAACAGGUGCUAAACCGAUACUGAUGGCUGGACCCGCGGUGCAUUAGCAGGUUGGUGAGGUAACGGCUCACCAAGGCCACGAUGCAUAGCCGACCUGAACGGUUGAUCGGCCACACUGGGACUGGGCCGGGGCCCAAAUUCCUCCGGUAAGGAGGAGUGGGGAAGCUUCGGCAAUGGACGAAAUUCUGAUCGGGCAAGGCGGCGUGAGUGAAGAGGGUUUUCGGAUCGUAAGACACUGUUGUGAGAGAAGCGGUAGCUAACCAGAAAGCCAGGGCUAACUACGUGCCAGCAGCCGCGGUAAUUC